CAGCAGUAGCCACGGGAAUACGAAGGGGGCUAGCGUUUUUCGGAAUUACUGGGCGUAAAGCGCACGUAGGCGGACAUUUAAGUCAGGGGUGAAAUCCCGGGGCUCAACCCCGGAACUGCCUUUGAUACUGGGUGUCUAGAGUAUGGAAGAGGUGAGUGGAAUUCCGAGUGUAGAGGUGAAAUUCGUAGAUAUUCGGAGGAACACCAGUGGCGAAGGCGGCUCACUGGUCCAUUACUGACGCUGAGGUGCGAAAGCGUGGGGAGCAAACAGGAUUAGAUACCCCCGUAGUCCCUGUCUCUUAUAC
rnacentral:rRNA from 1 species